rnacentral:antisense_RNA from 1 species
CUUCACCGACCCCAGCCACAACGGCUCCACCCGGUCCUGACCGUAGGCGGCCAGCAGGGCGUGGGCCUC